rnacentral:rRNA from 1 species
CGUAGACGUUUGAUCCUGGCUCAGACGAACGCUGCGGCGUGCCUAAUACAUGCAAGUCGAACGGAGAUAUUCGCUGAUGAAGACUUCGGUAAUGAAUACUUGGAUAUCUUAGUGGCGGACGGGUGAGUAACGCGUGAGCAACCUGCCUUUCAGAGGGGGAUAACGUUUGGAACGAACGCUAAUACCGCAUGACAUUAUCUUAUCGCAUGGUAGGAUAAUCAAAGGAGCAAUCCGCUGAAGAUGGGCUCGCGUCCGAUUAGGUAGUUGGUGGGGUAACGGCCCACCAAGCCGACGAUCGGUAGCCGGACUGAGAGGUUGGACGGCCACAUUGGGACUGAGACACGGCCCAGACUCCUACGGGAGGCAGCAGUAAGGGAUAUUGGUCAAUGGGGGAAACCCUGAACCAGCAACGCCGCGUGAGGGAAGACGGUUUUCGGAUUGUAAACCUCUGUCCUCUGUGAAGAUGAUGACGGCAGCAGAGGAGGAAGCUCCGGCUAACUACGUG